UGAAAGUGCCACAGGCUAAUUAUAAGUAAG
rnacentral:piRNA from 1 species